GUAUUGAAAUAAGAUUUUAAUUGAAUGCUAAGAGAAUGGAUUAACAAAAAAAUUCUUUUUUAAUUUUAAAAAUUGAAAUUAAUCUUUUUUGUGAAGAAGCAAAAAUAAAAAUUAAGGACAAGAAGACCCUAAGAAUUUUAAACUACUAACUUUAAAUUUAAAUUUUUUUAGUUUUAAUUGGGGCGAUUAAUUAAAAUUUUAAACUUUGUUUGAAAAUAAAAUGAACCGUUAUUAACGGUAAUAUGAUAAAAAUACUCUAGGGAUAACAGCGUAAUAAUUUUUGAUAGUUCCUAUAGACAAAAUAGUUUGCGACCUCGAUGUUGGAUUAGGAUUCUAAUUUAAUGAAGAAGUUAAAUA
rnacentral:rRNA from 1 species